GCCCCCAGCCCGCCCCUGAGCGGAGCGCUGAGGGGGCAACGGUCGCGCUCGCGCCUUGUCCGACCGCCGGCCGCGUCCCCUCACAGAACGGGGGCGGCACCUCUGAGCAGGUGAUGCCAGGUGAGGCCGGAGGGCUCAGACCGCCCUGUCCUGGGUUACCAGAAGUUGAAGUGCAAAGUUAAGAACGGCAAUCUGGGACGAUGCUAAACAAACGAACAGUUCUCUGACCUGCGUGCCAGUGCUGCACGUUUCUGCACGAGAGGUUGUUUUAAAACGAGCUUAUACCUCUGUUUUGAAAGUGCUGAAGCAGUUGUUUACAAAGUUCUUCACAAACCUUAAAGUGUAUGAAAAUAAAUGGUCUGAAUCCAUUCCCUGGAGGAAGCGAAGCUGAAAGCAUCCUUUUCAGCCUGAAAGUUUCUCCCUGUGGGGUGUCCAGCCAGAAGCCCCCAGCCCUAUCGAUGGCACCACAGCACAGGUGGCACAGGGGAGCAACAUUGCCUCAUCCAGGGCCCUCAGAGCAGGUGCCCUCCCGUGUUAUGGUGCUUCUCCACAGCACUGAGAGCCACUCAGUGUUAGCAACUAGAAUUGAGAAGAUUGGCACCUCUGAUGUCCCAGGUGGCGGCCUGAAGUGAGCAAGUGGAGAUGACAGCUGGUCUGACUGAGCUCAAAGGAUAGCUUCCAGAGAGUCCUACAAGAGAGACAACACGCAAAGCAUCGGGGCAUGGCAAAGUCCACUUGGCACCUAAGAGCCAGAAGCCCACGGGAAUAUUACAGCCAGCAUGACAAAUCCUCAGAACCCAGCUCCACAGUACUCCAGGAGGCAGACUUACGGAUGGAAGCCAGGCUCAAUCAAGAGAUCAGGUUGUCAGAGCAGAGCAAGCAAAGUGCUUUUCAGAGAAGUAACAAAACACACUGGUUGAUAACCAGAGGCAAUAGCUACGUAGACGUUAACCACUUUGAGUUUGCAACAAGAAGGAGAUCGAAUUCUACUCAGGUUUCUGAAAUGGCAAAAACAUCUACAGUUGAUCAAGGAAGCGGCAUAUUGGGAAAUGAAAUCAGGAAUCACAG